rnacentral:rRNA from 1 species
UACGGAAGGCAGCAGUGGGGAAUAUUGCACAAUGGGCGCAAGCCUGAUGCAGCCAUGCCGCAUGAGUGAAGAAGGCCUUCGGGUUGUAAAGCUCUUUUAGUGAGAAAGAUAAUGACGGUACUCACAGAAGAAGUCCUGGCUAACUCCGUGCCAGCAGCCGCGGUAAUACGGAGAGGGCUAGCGUUAUUCGGGAAUUAUUGGGCGUAAAGAGCGCGUAGGCUGAUUAGUAAGUUAAAGUGAAAUCCCAAAGCUUAACUUUGGAAUUGCUUUUUAAAACUGCUAGUCUAGAGAUUGAAAGAGGAUAGAGGAAUUCCUAGUGUAGAGGUGAAAUUCGUAAAUAUUAGGAGGAACACCAGUGGCGAAGGCGUCUAUCUGGUUCAAAUCUGACGCUGAGGCGCGAAGGCGUGGGGAGCAAACAGGGAUUAGAUACC